rnacentral:rRNA from 1 species
GACGAACGCUGGCGGCGUGCUUAACACAUGCAAGUCGAACGGAAAGGCCCUGCUUUUGUGGGGUUCUCGAGUGGCGAACGGGUGAGUAACACGUGAGUAACCUGCCCUUGACUUUGGGAUAACUUCAGGAAACUGGGGCUAAUACCGGAUAGGAGCUCCUGCUGCAUGGUGGGGGUUGGAAAGUUUCGGCGGUUGGUGAUGGACUCGCGGCUUAUCAGCUUGUUGGUGGGGUAGUGGCUUACCAAGGCUUUGACGGGUAGCCGGCCUGAGAGGGUGACCGGCCACAUUGGGACUGAGAUACGGCCCAGACUCCUACGGGAGGCAGCAGUGGGGAAUAUUGCACAAUGGGCGGAAGCCUGAUGCAGCAACGCCGCGUGCGGGAUGACGGCCUUCGGGUUGUAAACCGCUUUCGCCUGUGACGAAGCGUGAGUGACGGUAAUGGGUAAAGAAGCACCGGCUAACUACGUG